CAAAGGGCUCCUACCCACCACGACAUUAGGUUCUAGAGUUCUCUCUCCUUCCAUCUCAAACCUCCACCACGAUUCUAUCUCAAAACACCUCCAAUCUCUCCGUAACCACCACGAUUCUAUCUAAAACCACCACGGAUCUCCCCUCUUUCCAUCACUCCCGACGAUUAAAUUUCAAAGCACCAUUUUAACUCAAACCACCGAGAGAUCUCUGUGACUACGAAUCUCUCGUCUUCCAUUAAUCCCGACGAUUCCUCUCCAAGAAUCUCUGUUACCACCACGAUUUCAUCUCAUGAAUCUCUGUUAAAGAUCCAGACUGAUUCGAAUCCUAACAGAUCUCGAAAGUCUCCAUAUCAAGGAAACUCCAAUGGAAGCAAGGAAAGGCAUCAUCUGUGGACUCGCGGCAUGUGGAGUUAAACCACAACUCAAAAAACAACAUCCAGAAGAAGAACAAGGAAAGACCUCAGGAGGAAACGAUGCGGAAGAGAUAA